rnacentral:piRNA from 2 species
UGAAAUCAAUUUCAUGGGCUGCAAC